CCUACGGGAGGCAGCAGUGAGGAAUAUUGGUCAAUGGACGAGAGUCUGAACCAGCCAAGUAGCGUGAAGGAUGACUGCCCUAUGGGUUGUAAACUUCUUUUAUAAAGGAAUAAAACGCGGCACGUGUGCCUUUUUGCAUGUACUUUAUGAAUAAGGAUCGGCUAACUCCGUGCCAGCAGCCGCGGUAAUACGGAGGAUCCGAGCGUUAUCCGGAUUUAUUGGGUUUAAAGGGAGCGUAGAUGGGUUGUUAAGUCAGUUGUGAAAGUUUGCGGCUCAACCGUAAAAUUGCAAUUGAUACUGGCAGUCUUGAGUACAGUUGAGGUAGGCGGAAUUCGUGGUGUAGCGGUGAAAUGCUUAGAUAUCACGAAGAACCCCGAUUGCGAAGGCAGCUUGCUAAACUGUGACUGACAUUGAUGCUCGAAAGUGUGGGUAUCAAACAGGAUUAGAUACCCUUGUAGUC
rnacentral:rRNA from 1 species